GCGCAUGUGUGAAGCCGGACACGCGCUGUCGUCACCAUAGCAACAGUUUGUUGUGGUCUGCGGCAGAAGAUGAGACUCAAGCGGUUUCUUCUCAGAUAUUAUCCACCCGGUAUAAUCCUGGAAUAUGAGCGAGGAGGCUAUUCGAGGACCAAAUCCAUCGAUCUUCUGGAUUUGACACCUGAAACAAAUACAGAUCAGCUGGUGUCAGAAAUCAGACAAUCAGAGCCUCUGAUCACAGAGUCCCGGGCCGAACAGGUCAAAGAGUUGGUUCUCCGACUCCAACAGAAACAGGGUCAGCAGGACCACCACAGGUUCUGUUUCUGCAAGGAGCUGAAGGCACACAUACUGCCUCUGACCAAUAUUGCCUUUGAUAAAUCUGGAUCAAGGUUCAUAACUGGAAGUUAUGACAGAACAUGUAGAGUUUGGGACACCGCCUCCGGCGCAGAGCUGCACACACUCGAGGGUCACAGGAACGUUGUAUAUGCAAUCGCGUUCAACAAUCCCUAUGGAGACAAGAUUGCCACAGGCUCUUUCGACAAGACCUGCAAACUGUGGUGUGCGGAGACGGGCAAAUGUUUUCAUACUUUUUGUGGACACCGGGCUGAAAUAGUGUGUCUGGCAUUCAACCCUCAGAGUACACUGGUGGCCACAGGCAGCAUGGAUGCCACCGCAAAGCUGUGGGAUGUGGAAAGUGGGGAGGAGGUGGCCACACUGACUGGCCACACCGUAGAUGUCCUCUCUUUGUGCUUUAACACUGUUGGCAAUCAUCUUGUCACUGGCUCCUUUGAUUACACAGUUGCUAUAUGGGAUGUUGCUUCCAAAAGACGCAUUCACACUUUGAUAGGUCACAUGGGAGAAAUUAGUAACGUUCAGUUUAACUGGGAUUGUUCUCUCAUAGCCUCUGGUUCCACUGACAAGACCUGUAAGCUGUGGGACGCGGUCAGUGGGAAAUGUGUGGCCACCCUAGUCGGACAUACAAAGGAGGUGUUGGAUGUGUGUUUUGAUUUAAGCGGUCAGCUUAUUGCUACAGCUUCCGCUGAUGGUUCAGCAAAAAUAUUUAAUGCGGCUACACAUCAGUGUCUGGUGACACUGAAGGGCCACGGCGGGGAAAUCUCCAAGAUUUGUUUCAGCCCCCAGGGCAGCAGGGUCCUGACGGCCAGCUCAGACAAGACAGCCCGGCUGUGGGACGUUCAGUCCGGAGCCUGCCUUCAAAUCCUGGAGGGCCACACGGACGAGAUCUUCUCCUGUGCCUUCAACUACGAGGGGGACACCAUCAUUACAGGUAUCUGAAGAGACGCGACGUCGCGCUGUCGCAUGUCAGCGUGACAAACGUGCACUUUCAAAAAUCCUUGAGGGGCAGCAAGGACAACACAUGUCGGAUCUGGUACUGACCCUUCCCUCGGCUCCCGCCCCCCCGAGAAAGUGAAAAAAGAUGUUUUUAAAUUCUUUUCUUUUUUGUAAAUCAAAGGCUUAAAUGAUCGUUUUAUUUACACGCAGAGCAGUUGAAUUAGGUGUUUCCAAAAUAGUAUUGAAAGGUCACCUAUUGAAAUUUGGUCUCAGAGUAUUAAACAAGCUUCUAGGAGAGUUAUUCAUCUAUUAAAAUUAAAAUGAAAUGAAAGCACACCCUCCAUUUUAAGAGUUUAGCACGUUAAACGAUCUGAGUUUCAACAGGUAUUUAUAAAGUUCAAAUUGCACAGAUUUAUACUUGACAUAUUCCAUCAUGUCAUGCAUGAAACAAUGAUAAAGCUAAAAGGGAUUUGUGGGAAAAAAAAGACUAAAACACAGUCAUCUUAGUAAAGAUGGAGACUUGCGUCUUCAUUUUAGUCGCAAAAGCAGAGACUUUUUGAGGAAAUCUUGUACUGAUGCAGUAGAGCUGAAAGUAAGCUAUUGACUAGAUAUCUUUUGAAUAAAUGAUUAAUGUUG